rnacentral:rRNA from 1 species
UACGAGGGGGGCAAAUGUUGUUCGGAAUCACUGGGCGUAAAGGGCGCGUAGGCGGGCUUCUAAGUUAGGUGUUUAAUCCCGGGGCCCAACCCCGGACAGGCACCUAAAACUGGAAGUCUUGAAUAGUGGAGAGGACGGCGGAAUUGGGGGUGUAGCGGUGGAAUGCGUAGAGAUCCCCAAGAACACCAGUUGCGAAGGCGGCCGUCUGGACACAUAUUGACGCUGAGGCUCGAAAGCAUGGGGAGCAAACAGG